rnacentral:rRNA from 1 species
UACGGAGGGUGCGAGCGUUGUCCGGAAUCACUGGGCGUAAAGCGUGCGCAGGCGGUUGUGCAAGACAGAUGUGAAAUCCCCGGGCUUAACCUGGGAACUGCAUUUGUGACUGCACGGCUAGAGUGCGGCAGAGGGGGAUGGAAUUCCGCGUGUAGCAGUGAAAUGCGUAGAUAUGCGGAGGAACACCGAUGGCGAAGGCAAUCCCCUGGGCCUGCACUGACGCUCAUGCACGAAAGCGUGGGGAGCAAACAGG